GCUAGGCCCACAUCUUUCCACCUGUAGAUGCUCUUGAUGCUGCAGGUUACUGCUGGCAGUAUGAUUGGUGCCUGUGUAAGGAAGAGACAUGACCUAUGACUUUGCAGAAAUCACACUGCCUUUUCCCAUAGCAAAAAUACCACAAUUCAGAAAGAGACCUCAAAAUACACAGAUGAAUUGUAUGUGAGUAAAAGUGGUGAAAAUAA